rnacentral:rRNA from 1 species
UACGUAGGGUGCGAGCGUUGUCCGGAAUCAUUGGGCGUAAAGGGCAGGUAGGUGGUCUGAUUUGUCUGGAGGUGAAAGCCUUGGGCUUAACCCAAGAAGUGCCCCGGAAACGGUCAGACUUUGAGUCUUGGAGAGGGUUGCGGAAUUCCCGGUGUAGCGGUGAAAUGCGCAGAUAUCGGGAGGAACACCAAUGGCGAAGGCAGCUCGCUGGGACGGUACUGACGCUGAGACGGCGAAAGCGUGGGGAGCAAACAGGG